CGUCACACUAUCAUUAACUGAAUCCAUAGGUUAAUGAGGCGAACCGGGGGAACUGAAACAUCUAAGUACCCCGAGGAAAAGAAAUCAACCGAGAUUCCCCCAGUAGCGGCGAGCGAACGGGGAGGAGCCCAGAGCCUGAAUCAGCAUGUGUGUUAGUGGAAGCGUCUGGAAAGGCGCGCGAUACAGGGUGACAGCCCCGUACACAAAAGCGCACAUGCUGUGAGCUCGAUGAGUAGGGCGGGACACGUGGUAUCCUGUCUGAAUAUGGGGGGACCAUCCUCCAAGGCUAAAUACUCCUGACUGACCGAUAGUGAACCAGUACCGUGAGGGAAAGGCGAAAAGAACCCCGGCGAGGGGAGUGAAAAAGAACCUGAAACCGUGUACGUACAAGCAGUGGGAGCCCCACCACUAAGCCAGUGGUGAACUCCACAUACGCAUCCUUUGCUGAGGAUGCGGUUAACGGAGCGAAAGCGACGUUCAACCGCAAAAGAAGCAGAGGGGGCUUAGUGGUGGGGUGACUGCGUACCUUUUGUAUAAUGGGUCAGCGACUUAUAUUCUGUAGCAAGGUUAACCGUAUAGGGGAGCCGGAGGGAAACCGAGUCUUAAU
rnacentral:rRNA from 1 species